UAAGCAUAUCAAUAAGCGGAGGAAAAGAAACCAACCGGGAUUGCCUUAGUAACGGCGAGUGAAGCGGCAAAAGCUCAAAUUUGAAAUCUGGCGUCUUCGACGUCCGAGUUGUAAUUUGAAGAAGGUAACUUUGUAGCUGGUCCUUGUCUAUGUUCCUUGGAACAGGACGUCAUAGAGGGUGAGAAUCCCGUGUGGCGAGGAUCCCAGUUAUUUGUAAAGUGCUUUCGACGAGUCGAGUUGUUUGGGAAUGCAGCUCUAAGUGGGUGGUAAAUUCCAUCUAAAGCUAAAUAUUGGCGAGAGACCGAUAGCGAACAAGUACAGUGAUGGAAAGAUGAAAAGAACUUUGAAAAGAGAGUGAAAAAGUACGUGAAAUUGUUGAAAGGGAAGGGCAUUUGAUCAGACAUGGCGUUUGCUUCGGCUUUCGCUGGGCCAGCAUCAGUUUUAGCGGUUGGAUAAAUCCUCGGGAAUGUGGCUCUGCUUCGGUAGAGUGUUAUAGCCCGUGGGAAUACAGCCAGCUGGGACUGAGGAUUGCGACUUUUGUCAAGGAUGCUGGCGUAAUGGUUAAAUGCCGCCCG
rnacentral:rRNA from 1 species